UUAAUUUGGACCUAAAAAAUACCGAAAACUUUCUUAAAAACCACCAAAUUUUCGUGCAAUUGAGUUGCCUGCAGUGUGACCAGAUGAUGUUGCGUUAAAAUAUACCGUCCGACCCUCAGAAAUAUACCAAAAUAUACCGUCUCAUUAAAAAAAAUACCGUAAAUAUAUCGUAUUCUCAAUUUCGACCUAAAAAAUAUCGAAAACAUUCUUAAAAACCACCAGAUUUUCGUGCUAAUGUCUUGCGAGACCUGCCAUUUGUCGUGUCGGCGUUGGCCGUUAUGAUACCAAGCUGGCAGCCGACGAAAAAGUGCUGAUUAUAGACUAUUCUGACGACCAUUGACCAUCCAUUUCGGGGAUGAGCGAUAUCGUGAUAUCGAUAGAUGUGUGUUUCGAUAGGUACAAACACGCACAACUAAAAAUUUAAAUUAAAAGUCUCGUUUUGUAUACGGAAAUAUUUUUAUUCCACGUUUUGUGCCUUACACUUGUAUAAAUACAUAUACAUUGAAUACAAAAUAUCCUUUGCUCCGCUGUGAGAGUGUGUGUGUAAAAACAUUUUGCAAAAAUUUUGUUAGCGCACAAAGUUAUAAACGUAAAAUGAAAACCCUAGCAGACUCUGAUCUGAUUGCGAUCAUUAGUCUUCUCGACACCGUAAAUAUAUUUCCUACGAGAUGUAAUAU
rnacentral:misc_RNA from 1 species